UCCCUGGUGGUUCCGCAGUUAAGACUCUGUGCUCUCAAUGCAGGGGGCCCAGGUUCAAUCCCUGGUCAGGGAA
rnacentral:tRNA from 1 species